rnacentral:lncRNA from 1 species
UGGCUAAGGGUCUUGACCAGUGGGGCACUGAAGAAGCGAGCCACACCUCCAUCGUACGCCCUGCGAGGAGGAAAUUGCCACAGUCACCUCAACCUUCAGCAACCACCAACUUGAUCAAUCAGCAGCCAAUAACGUGAAGUCAUGACCAUUCACCAGCAAAAAGUUUAUGAUUCACCAAAAUAUUAGAUGAUCAUUAACAUUUUUAGCAAUAAUGUAUUUGUCAUUAAGGUGUUAGUGCAUUGGAAAAUCAUUUAAAGAAUGUAUCAGCUAAUUGAAGGCUUAUGUACAUUCUUCUAACUGCUGGAACUAAUAAGAUAUGAAUGAUGAAGCUUAUAUUCUUCUAGGAAUGAUAUAUACUUCACACAAAUAUAAAUAAAAAGCCUAGAUAAUUACAAAUAAGUUAUAUGAAUGAAGUUGACAGUAACUGAAAGAAGUCCGUUUAAAUAUGGUUGUCGGAAAGCCUCUACAGAAGGUGCCAUCUAAACACAGAUCCAAGGGAUACCGGUAGACUAGCUGUACUAAGAACCAUGGAGAGAGCGUUCUAGAGUGUACAUGUUCAGAGGCCGAAUAGAAUGAAUGAGUUAGACACAUCUGGGAAACGAAAAAGAAGCCAAUGUGAAUGGAAAACAAGGACCGUUACUGUAGGCCAUGAAAACAUUUUCUCUUUCUCUCCCCCUCUCUCUGUUUUUUGUUUGUUUGUUUGUUUGUUUGUUUUGGUUUG